rnacentral:rRNA from 1 species
UACGAAGGGGGCUAGCGUUGCUCGGAAUCACUAGGCGUAAAGGGUGCGUAGGCGGGUCUUUAAGUCAGGGGUGAAAUCCUGGAGCUCAACUCCAGAACUGCCUUUGAUACUGAGGAUCUUGAGUUCGGGAGAGGUGAGUGGAACUGCGAGUGUAGAGGUGAAAUUCGUAGAUAUUCGCAAGAACACCAGUGGCGAAGGCGGCUCACUGGCCCGGAACUGACGCUGAUGUGCGAAAGCGUGGGGAGCAAACAGG